AUAUAAUUGAACAUUUCUUUCUGAAUGUGCGUGAAUAAGGAAUUCCAUGGGAGUGAUAAGAACAUAAAUCUGUAUCUAGAUUUGUAAUAGCAGGAUAGAAAAGAUGAUAUUGAAGGCUACAGAAUUACUUCAGAUAUGUGGCAGUAAAGUUUUAAAAGACUCAAAGUAAUUUUGAUAGCAUAAGCAUUUAAUGGUGUUUGUUAUCAAAUACAAAGGAAGCAGGCAUUAAUACUAGAUCUCAAAAGUAUUCCUUUCAAUUGAACUGUGAAACAUUCGGUAUGUUAAUCCACAGGGCAUGAGAUACAGUUUCUUUCUGAUGGAGAAAAAAAAUUUAAAAAAUCCUGGGCAACUGCAGUCCCAUUCACAGCUAACUAAAAGCAAUUGAAGGAACUGAGAAGGUUGCAGGGAGAAGAUGUGAGCAACCUCUCUCUCUCCCUGGUAUACAGAGAGACAACAUGUUUGCAGACAUGUACAAGACCUCCUUCGGCCAGAGGGCGGGGGGGAGAGAGAAGACAAAAAGCCUUGGAGAAGGCGGGGCAUUGCCUUUUUUCCCUGGGGCCCAGUGUGUGCAGCAUUGUUAAGUGGUCCUUGCAUCUGAAAUAAACCUUGUUUUAAUCCUU